rfam:Legionella waltersii strain ATCC 51914 Lwal_ctg036, whole genome shotgun sequence.
CCUGGCGACCAUAGCGUUUUGGAACCACCUGAUCCCAUCUCGAACUCAGCAGUGAAACGAUUCAGCGCCGAUGAUAGUGUGAGGCUUCCUCAUGCGAAAGUAGGACAUCGCCAGGG